rnacentral:lncRNA from 1 species
GCAGUCAGUUCCCCAAGAUGAAAACCAUUUACGUAAAAAGGCAGCUCUCUACGCUGCUUUUAAACAUAACCAUGCUAUGCUAAAUGCUAUACGUACCUUCAGAGUACAUUAGUGAAUUGAUACAGCGUGGCUGCUGCUAUGUUCUCUUGCGAAGUGGGCGGGAUAACAGCACUAGAGACGAUGAAGAAACUUUCUUUUGACAAAAAAUGACAGCUUUGAAAGAUGGGAGACCAACACCUGAGCUACCAGACCUUCAGCUAAGGAAAGGUAUCUGGACAAUCAACUUGUAAAUGAUGGAUGUGAUUAUGCAUCGCUGUCCAUAUUUGGCUCGUGCACCUUCUUCCAGCAGUCCAGAAAAGUUCUGGUCGGGUAUGCCCAGCGAUGCCCAAUCAUGAUGGAACUGGCUGCAAAACCCAUGGCCCCUACGAUGGCACGGGCCCUCUGCUCCUCCUCUUCUUACAAGGUUCCAGAGAAUGCGUCUGUCAAUAAAGCACCUAUGGAGGAGGCAAUCUCUAAGCUGCCUUCUGGUCAUCCAAUGCCACCAUCAGGGCAGGCACUUGCUUCCAAAUGCCCUUUCCUGGCUGCUGAGAUGGGCCAGAACAACAGCAGUGUUGUCCGUCAGUUGUAUCUGCAGUGCGCUGUGCAGUCUGCAAGGAAAACUCUGUCAGGAAUCGUCAGCGACCCUUUCUCGACAUUAUCAACAAGGAAUUCACACAUUAACAACCCCUGCUCUCAAAAUGAGGACACCAUUAUCCAUGGUGAUGGAACCUUUGGUGAAGGAGGAGGAGGAGGAGGAGGAGGAGGAGGAGGAGGAGGAGGAGGAGGAGGAGUUGCAGCAUCUCCUACCUGAGAUUACCGAUAUUGUGCAGGUCUAUCCAGAGGUUGCAGGACUGGUGCACUGGGCGACUUACCCUGUGCCAUCAUCUACUCAUGUUUGUAGAUGUCCUCCUCCACCAUUAACAGACCUCAAAUUUUACAGCAGUCCAUUCUUCCCACCUGAGUGUUUUCCUUCUUUUGAAGAACGAGAUGAGUUGGAUGAGUUAUUGGCUAUCAUGCCACCAGAGGCCCUGGAACCCGUCCCAGUACCAAAGAAAAGAAAACACGAGAAGGAUAAGGGGACGUAUGUAAAGAAACCUCCCAACGCAUUUAUGCUGUUCUUAAAAAGCGAGAGGAAGACAGUCCAGGAAGAGCUCGGCAUUAAGAACAGUGCCGCAGUCAAUCGAGUUCUUUCUGAACGCUGGAAGUCUUUGGCAG